rnacentral:rRNA from 1 species
AGGUGGAGCAAAACUUCAAAAAUAGGUCUCAGUUCGGACUGUAGGCUGCAACUCGCCUACACGAAGUUGGAAUUGCUAGUAAUCGUGGAUCAGCAUGCCACGGUGAAUACGUUCCCGGGUCUUGUACACACCGCCCGUCACACCAUGGGAGCUGGUAACACCCGAAGUCAGUAGUCUAACUGCAAGGAGGACGCUGCCGAAGGUGGGAUUAGCGACUGGGGUGAAGUCGUAACAAGGUACC